AGUUUCUGCAUGUUGUACUAAUUUUGGUGAAUCUAAGCCUAAAAACAAAGAUGUUGUGCAAGAUGUAUGUGGCGUAUUGAGCAAUUUGUUCCCAGAAUAUGUCAUAAAAAAGGCCCAAGAGUAGACAAAGCUAAAUUGUAGUAUAAUAAUAACAGUAAAAAUAGUAAGAACACAUAAUAAUAAUAACAAUGAUAAAAAUAAUACUUGUUAAGUUACACAUAAAUUUAGGGGUAAUUUUAGCAAUUCAGUGUUUGAUCAUUCAUGUGUAAGUUUUUUAACAUACUCAAA